CACCGGUGAUGUAAUGGUCAAGUCAGACGAGUCUAAAUUGGCGAUCGGUUCGAGUUCUUCGAAGACAUCGCCGCCUAAAGCGGGGUGAUAAUGAGGCAUUUGUCUGAGGUGA
rnacentral:sRNA from 14 species